UACGUAGGGAGCAAGCGUUGUCCGGAAUCAUUGGGCGUAAAGCGCGCGUAGGCGGCCCCAUAAGUCCGCUGUGAAAGUCCAAGGCUCAACCUUUGAAAGCCGGUGGAUACUGUGGGACUAGAGUACGGAAGAGGCGAGUGGAAUUCCUGGUGUAGCGGUGGAAUGCGCAGAUAUCAGGAGGAACACCAAUAGCGAAGGCAGCUCGCUGGGACGUUACUGACGCUGAGGAGCGAAAGCGUGGGGAGCGAACAGG
rnacentral:rRNA from 1 species